AUGCCUUUCUCCUUCUUUUUGGUGACGUCGGAUGCCCGCCUUUGGCGCUCAGAAGUGGAUUCUCCUUCAAAGAGGGCUUUUCCCAAGAAAGGGACAUGGUUGUACUGGAUUUCUAGUCCUAUAGUGGAAGAGCAGAUAGGAUCACACCUACACGUAAGUUCGUUCGUUGGGUUAGUGGCCACCCGCACUCCAACCUAUCUAUAUGGCAACAAAGCGAAUGACAAGGCCAAAGUAGCUGACUCUUAUCGCUAA
rnacentral:rRNA from 1 species